rnacentral:sRNA from 1 species
AAAAUCUUAUCAUCAUAUGCAUCUGAAGAAAUAGCCACACUAUUACCCAGUCAUUUGAAAAGAUUUCCAUGAUUGAGCUCAUUUAGUGCCGAGAAUAGUACUACCUUAAAGGACAUGGAAACAGCUUUAUCUUUUGUUGUCAGCUUGUCCUUGCUUGGCAUUAUUCAUGCCGGACCAAUCUGCAUGCGAUGCAUUAAUGUGGCUGACAUUUCAAAUUGCGUAACAAACACCAUUCAGUGCGGUUACAAUGAGCAAUGUUACCUGGAAAGUAUAUUAAACGAGGAUCUCAGAAUAACGUACAAUGCCGGAUGCCAGUCGAACACGGUUUGUUCUACCUUGGUCCCGACAUAUGUUGGAUACAAAAAGAGAGGGCUAGUUAACUGUGCUGCUUGUUGUAACGAGGCCCCGGGAAACGAUGGUCCAUGUAAUGCACACUUAUGUGGAGUCUCCCCAGGGGAUUUACAAAAAACCUGUGCUGUGUGUGAUGGUGUCCACAGUGAUGUAGCACAGUGUACCACGACCGCAGUGUGUCCACCAAAUGAGCUUUGCUUUAGUGGAAUUCGAAUUGUCCAAUCAGCUAUUCGAUAUGUUGUUGGAUGUUACGAAGAGCGCGUCAAUGCCCUUCGGUCUAGCAACAGCCCCAAGAGUGUUUACGAAAUUAAUGGGGGCAAUAGGUGCACAUCUAAGAAGCCAACAGAUUUCCAUUUAUAUGUACCUGGACGAUUGGCUUCUCAAAAAUGCAGAUCGAAUGGCAUUAGUUCAUCAACUAAGGAGAACUUUGUUUCUGCUGAUGGACUUGGGCCUGGUAAUAAAUCAAUCCAAGUCAAUUCUGCAACCAACGCAACAGAUAACUUAUCUUGGAGCACUAUUCAACCUCCAACAGGGUAUGGUCUACCCCAGUUUGGACCGUUUUCUCAGUCUGCGUGGGGAAAUUCCUACCAUGGUUAUGGAAUCUUUUAUCCCAGCACGUACAUUCCUCAGAGUCUUUGGUUUAAUGGCAGCCUGUAUAGAUUUGGUACCUCUUGCCAGACUCAAGAUGCGUCCCAUUCAGUUCUGCCUUCUGUUCCAGUGGCGUCCACAUGUGGACGAACUGGAUCAUAUGAUUCAAAUCGACAGUUUCCUCAUCCCACAUCUUCUCUGGUGGAUAGAGAGAGGGAACGUUCUGGCAGGGACGUCUAUUCUGAGCUUCAGAGCAGACCUAACCUUGUGGACAGAUGCAUCAACUUACGGGUGGGGAGCCCACCUAGAGGAUCGCAAUGUGUCGGGGAAAUGGACGGUGAUAGAACAGUCAUCACAUAUAAAUCUGUUGGAACUCAGUGCAGUGGAGAAUGCACUUCAUCACUUCAGGGACAAUGUCAAACACAGGCAAGUCUUGCUGAGGACAGACAAUUCAACAGUUGUGUCUUACAUCAAUCGCCAAGGGGGGACAAAGUCUGCAGCCCAUACGUGAUGACAUGGAGGAUUCUGCAUUGGUGUCACCUUCUCGGGAUACAGCUCAAAGCAGCCCACAUUCCAGGGGAAAAGAAUGUAAUAGCGGAUCAGUUGUCCAGAGGGCGACAAAUUCCCAAGAUGACAGAAUGGAGUCUCAACCAAGAAAUAGUUCAGCAGAUUUCUCGAGUUUUCCCCACUCCAAACAUAGAUUUAUUCGCAACAAGGGAAAACCAGAAACUAGCAGUGUUUUGUUCUCCGUUUCCAGACCCCUUGGCAUGGGAAUGCGAUGAGCUAGCUGUAGAUUGGACAGUAAUGUUUGCAUAUGCAUUUCCUCCUCCCAUGUUAAUUCCGAGAGUACUCAGGAAAGUGGAACAGGAGUCGUGUGUUCUUCUCCUCAUCGCUCCGUUUUCACCAAGACAGUCAUGGUUUCCAGACCUACUACAUCUAUUGGUCGACAUUCCAAGGGAACUUCCAAUAAUAAGAGACAUGUUGACUCAAAGAAGAGGUCAGUUCAUUCAUCAAAGUCCAGAAAGUCUGCAUCUGGCGGUUUGGAAAAUUUCAAACAACAAAGAACAGAGAAUAGAUUUUCUGAGAAAACUAAGUCAUUUAUCUUCAACUCCCGAAGACAGUCAACAAGGAAAAUCUAUGAUGCUAGAAUACGAAUCUACAAGGAAUGGUGUGCCAAGAACCAAAAGGAUUCAUUUGAGGCCACUGUAG